AGUGAACGCUGGCGGUAGGCCUAACACAUGCAAGUCGAACGGCAGCACAGUAAGAGCUUGCUCUUACGGGUGGCGAGUGGCGGACGGGUGAGGAAUACAUCGGAAUCUACUUUUUCGUGGGGGAUAACGUAGGGAAACUUACGCUAAUACCGCAUACGACCUACGGGUGAAAGCAGGGGAUCUUCGGACCUUGCGCGAUUGAAUGAGCCGAUGUCGGAUUAGCUAGUUGGCGGGGUAAAGGCCCACCAAGGCGACGAUCCGUAGCUGGUCUGAGAGGAUGAUCAGCCACACUGGAACUGAGACACGGUCAAGACUCCUACGGGAGGGAGCAGUGGGGAAUUUUGGACAAUGGGCGCAAGCCUGAUCCAGCCAUACCGCGUGGGUGAAGAAGGCCUUCGGGUUGUAAAGCCCUUUUGUUGGGAAAGAAAAGCAGCAGGUUAAUACCCCGCUGUUCUGACGGUACCCAAAGAAUAAGCACCGGCUAACUUCGUG
rnacentral:rRNA from 1 species